UACAGAGGUCCCGAGCGUUGUCCGGAUUUAUUGGGCGUAAAGAGCGUGUAGGCGGCCAAGCAGGUCAGCUGUGAAAACUCGAGGCUCAACCUCGAGACGUCGGUUGAAACCGUUUGGCUAGAGUCCGGAAGAGGAGAGUGGAAUUCCCGGUGUAGCGGUGAAAUGCGCAGAUAUCGGGAAGAACACCCGUGGCGAAGGCGGCUACUCUCGGGACGGUACUGGACGCUGAGACGCGAAAGCGUGGGGAGCGAACAGGA
rnacentral:rRNA from 1 species